ensembl:lncRNA
ACCCCCUCUUUUUCCAGAUGAGGAAUCUGAGGCCGAGAGAAAUAAUCUGAGACUGAGUUUCCAGACAGUGUUUUCUCAUUCCAGCAAGCCUGGACCCCUCUCUGUGACUCCCCUCCCUCCGGGCCGAGACCUCGGGAGCAGCAGAGGUCUUGGGUCCCGUCACACUCCAUGCGAAGUCCUUUCAAUGGAGUUUGGAAACUUUAGGCUGCUUCCUCCCGAUUGGGCUCCCGAGACUAAAGAACCUGAGGAAAUCAUUAACUUCCCAGGGCACUGCUGGGAGCUGUGACCUUUUCCGAUCUCAUUGGGAGGGGGAGGGGAGCCCCACCCUCCUGCGAGCUGGGUGGGGAGAGGCUGCUCCGGGAACAGGUGUUUCCAGGAGUCUCUCCGUUCAUCCCGGGUGCAGGUACCUGCCGCCGCCGAGGUAGUGUCCCAGCUCCCGCCCCGUAUUAUUUCUCCCUCCUUCGUCCUUCAGCUUGUUCUUUUUAAAACAAGGUGUGUGUUGGGGGGUGGGGGUGGGGGCUUUUAUGCAAAGAAACUUCAAUUUAUUAAAAUAUGAAAUUCACAUCUGAAAUUUCAAUAGCGCAUUAAGUCUGCAGAAUCAAGUUGCUGUGGCAACCUUCACUCCCGCUCCUCGCUCGGGGUGACAAAGGGGCCUUUUGUUACGUGGAGAGCGCUGGGCUGGGCAUUGGGACAUCCUAUUCAGCCAAUCCACACAAAGGAAACAUACUUCCCCCUUGGCAGGCUGGGCCCGGAGCAUGCUAUAUGAUUGCCUGUGCCUUUAAUAAUGCUUCCCCGCUAAUGCUGGGAAAAUGAGCUGCCUAUUGUUAGCUGCUUUAAACCGAAGUUUCUUCUCGGCACUUAGUGGGAGGACAGAGCCCUUGAUCGUCCUGCAUUUGCUCUUGUAAUGGAAAACUGCUAUUGUGAUGUGGACUUUUCGGGGAGGGCCCACAAACUAUUACAAUGCAUCAUGUACCACACACAAUUCAUCUCUCCAUUCCCCAUCUGAUGAGCCCCUGCUUUGUUUCCAAUUCUUUGCUGAUGGACAGAAAAAAGUGCCAUUAUGAAUAUCUUGGGGCUUAUCAAGAACCAGAGAAGCAACAUCUGAGCAAGUCAGAGGCUGAAAACAGCAGACAAACUGUGUAACUGAGAGAUUCCUGAAACUGGAGAUUUGUAAGACAUGCCUCCUCCCCUACCCCCAUGAAGAAAACAUGAACAACAGAGCAUCUGUUACAAAUAGAUGCUGUAGAGCAAAAGAAUUCUCACACUGGCCAUGCUCAAAGGACCGUAUCUCGGGCCGUACUCCGAGUCCAUCAGGAGCUGAGCCCCAGGUUUCCUCCCGUGACAGUGGACACUGAUAAGCUGAAGAGUGUCCAGAAGAAGGUGACCAAGAGAGGACCAGAACUAGAAACCAUCCAUGAGCGGGAACUGGGAAUGGUUGUCCUGGAGAAGGGGAGCCUGGAGUGUAGUUGUUAUUUGUCCACUGGUUUUGGAGAGGACCAACGACACCACGGGGUGAUGUCUUGACUUGCAUGUGGGUUGGAUUUCAGUGAGGCAGUCAUCAGCCUCAGUCUCUCUUUCAGAGCCAUCCAAGUCCAAUGGCAAGACAAAAGUCAGCAUGACUGUCCAUGGAUAACCUUAGCAGCUUCGAGCCAGUUUGGCUGGAGUAUAAGGACGAAGGGGAGAGCAGGGGUGAAAUGAUAAAUAUUUAACAACCAGCUUUCCAGAAAAAAACUACACAUGAUGUAUUUUUCAUCUUCAUGAUUAAUACCUUCUCCAUUUUCUCAAGCCUAGAAAAAAUUUUAAAUUUUAAAUUUUAAAUAUUUUUCCAUGUUUCCAUGAUUUAUUUUCUUUCCCUCCCCUCUUCCCUCCCCCCUCCCAGAGCCAACAAGCAAUCCACUGGGUUGUACAAAUGUUAUCACUUGAUACUUAUUUCCAUCUUAUUCAUUUUUGCUAUAGAGCCAUAUUUUAAAGCCAAAACCCCAAAUCACAUCCCCAUAUAUACAUGCGAUAAGUGAUGUCAUGUGUUUUGCUUUUGCAUUUCUGCUCCCAUAGUCCUUUUUCUCAAUGUGGUUAGCAUUCUUUCCCAUAAGUCCUUCAGGAGUGUCCUAUCAAUCCUAGAAAUUUGAAAAAAGAAAUAAUAAAUGCAUCCCUAAUUUGUAGCCUUUGCCA